rnacentral:rRNA from 1 species
GUAGGGUGCAAGCGUUAAUCGGAAUUACUGGGCGUAAAGCGUGCGCAGGCGGUUGUGUAAGUCAGAUGUGAAAUCCCCGGGCUCAACCUGGGAAUUGCAUUUGAGACUGCACGGCUAGAGUGUGUCAGAGGGGGUAGGAAUUCCACGUGUAGCAGUGAAAUGCGUAGAUAUGUGGAGGAAUACCGAUGGCGAAGGCAGCCCCUCGGGAGUAACACUGACGCUCAUGCACGAAAGCGUGGGGAGGCAAACAGGAUUAGAUACCCUGGUAGUCCACGCCCUAAACGAUGUCUACUAGUUGUCGGGUCUUAAUUGACUUGGUAACGCAGCUAACGCGUGAAGUAGACCGCCUGGGGAGUACGGUCGCAAGAUUA